AAUUUCAUUUGAAGUGGAAAUCCUUUUUGAGAGGAAAAAACAAAAAGGUUGAAACGAAAAGCCCAAUUCGCC
rnacentral:sRNA from 1 species